UACAGAGGGUGCAAGCGUUGUUCGGAUUUACUGGGCGUAAAGGGCGCGUAGGCGGCAAUUCAAGUCAUCUGUGAAAUCUCCGGGCUUAACUCGGAACGGUCAGAUGAUACUGCUUUGCUAGAGUGCGGAAGGGGCAAUCGGAAUUCUCGGUGUAGCGGUGAAAUGCGUAGAUAUCGAGAGGAACACCUGAGGUGAAGACGGGUUGCUGGGCCGACACUGACGCUGAGUGCGCGAAAGCCAGGGGAGCAAACGGG
rnacentral:rRNA from 1 species